UAGGGAAUUUUCGGCAAUGGGCGAAAGCCUGACCGAGCAACGCCGCGUGAGUGAAGACGGCCUUCGGGUUGUAAAGCUCUGUUGAUAGGGAAGAAUGUUACGUAUAGGGAAUGAUAUGUAAGUGACGGUACCUAUCCAGAAAGCCACGGCUAACUACGUGCCAGCAGCCGCGGUAAUACGUAGGUGGCAAGCGUUAUCCGGAUUUAUUGGGCGUAAAGGGUGCGUAGGCGGCAGUUUAAGUUUAAGGUGAAAGCGUUGGGCUCAACCCAAUACAGCCUUAAAAACUGGACAGCUAGAGUGCAGGAGAGGUUAGCGGAAUUCCAUGUGUAGCGGUAAAAUGCGUAGAUAUAUGGAGGAACACCAGUGGCGAAGGCGGCUAACUGGCCUGUAACUGACGCUGAGGCACGAAAGCGUGGGGAGCAAAUAGG
rnacentral:rRNA from 2 species